GUGUGUACUUAUGUGGAGGACAUUUGGUUGCUGAUGGCAAAUACUAAGAAAAUAAAUGGAAAACCUGGGGUUGUAAUCUCAGAGCUGAAACGGAAAAGUUUUUAAAAUCACUUAUGCCUCCACUGAGAUGUGUGUGUUUUCUGAAUCCCAAGAAAGUGAUCAGCUAAAAUCAGCUAAUGAAGGGUAGGAAUUUUUUAAUUGCAUUUAUUAAUUUACAUUUUAAGUGUUAUUCCAUUUCCCAG
rnacentral:lncRNA from 1 species